rnacentral:rRNA from 1 species
CCUACGGGAGGCAGCAGUGGGGGAUAUUGCACAAUGGGGGAAACCCUGAUGCAGCGACGCCGCGUGAGUGAAGAAGUAUUUCGGUAUGUAAAGCUCUAUCAGCAGGGAAGAAAAUGACAGUACCUGACCAAGAAGCCCCGGCGAACUACGUGCCAGCAGCCGCGGUAAGACGUAGGGGGCAAGAGUUAUCCGGAUUUACUGGGUGUAAAGGGAGCGUAGACGGUUAGUUAAGUCUGUAGUGAAAGCCCGGGGCCCAACCCCGAGACUGCAUUGGAAACUGUGUAACUGGAGUACAGGAGGGGCAGGCGGAAUUCGUGGUGUAGCGGUGAAAUGCGUAGAUAUCAGGAGGAACCCCGGCGGCGAAGGCGGCCUGCUAGACUGAAACUGACGUUGAGGCUCGAAAGUGUGGGUAGCAAACAGGAUUAGAUACCCCUGUAGUC